AUAAACUACUAGAGCUUGCAAGAAGCAGUACUUAGCCAAUAGGUAAUAUGAUUCAUUCUGCAAUCUCUCUCAUUACAGUUGAAACCUUUCAGUGCCAGACCUAGUCAGACAAAUACACCUGAGGCCAAAAUCAUCUCGGUGUGAACGAGAUGUUCCUGGUAUUGUAUGAAGAGAACACAAAGAAAGUGACACAAUUUACAGUAUCAUAUUUCAAUUCUAUUCAGAAAACUUGAAUGAUUAAAUAAUAUGUUUAGCAAUCGUAGACAGUCUGUACAUAGAUUGAGAGAAUAACUGACUAACACGUAAGUGGUAACAAACUAUGUAUUGCCUUAGUUAAAACAUUGCAAACUGAACAUUAGGUGCUUGCUUUUCAAGUACCAUAGGAAAGAUUUCAUUCUUUAAAAUUGGCCUCUGCUGUACCAUGAAAGUAACUCUGCAAAUAACAGGAAAUUUAUAAUCUAUAUUUCCUAGUCUAACUCUUCAGAGAUUUUAUGCUAUUAUGGGUUUUUGAAUGAGACUUAAAAAAACUCAAGGUUUUGUCUGCAAACCUUAAAUAUUCCAUGGCACUUUUUGUAGGAACAGGAGUUUUCCCUGUUGUCUUUAGUUAAAUUCCCCUUCAUCCAGUUGUACUGGUUGAUUUCUACCACUUUUCCAGAGAUGGCAGCAUUUUAGUAGGACUAUAUAUAUAUAUAUAAUUUGCAACGUGCCUUUGGAUCCCAGGAGUAUUCAUGUUGUUAGUUGUAAUCCUAUAGGGAACUGUCUAUGCUGAAAUAUAUGAAACACCAGACUAGUGGUUGUGCUUGUGUCAGAUUCAUUGCUCCAUAGGCCAUUGGGGUUGAGAGCAUAGACAUAACUUUUGUGGGAAGGUGAGCACUUUGUGUCAUUAUAUCAAGUGAUUCCACUCCCUCCUCAAAUCAACACACAAGCAUCAUUCAGAUUUCCUCAGCUGGAGAAUUAGCUUUCUUGACACAAAGUGCUGGAGCGGAGAGUGGGGUAAAUAAACUGAGCAAACGGGGAACAGGGAUCCCAGGGAACCAUAUGCAAGCAUAUACCUUAUACCACAGAGAGCAGCUGCUUCCUAAUGCUGCCCCUUCUGCCCCCCAAUUGCUGUAGAGCACCAUCCACAGGCAUUUGAAACCUCUGCAUUGUUUGGUAUUCUAGGGAGCAUAUGUUGAAUUGCUGGUUUUAUUCUUCAUCAACUUUGUGCUUCCCUCUACAGCAGAUAAAAAAGAUGACAAUGUGGCCCAAUGUCUGUAGUAGGGAAACUAAGUUGAACCGAAUGUAACUGAUUAUCAUUUAAUCUUUUUUUUUCACAAAUGAAACUAUAUAAAUCCUAUGCUACCCUUUUGUUGUUGUUGCUCUUUCAGAUUUAAUAAAUUCUUUACCUGA